GGGAAGAUGGCUCAGUGGUAGAGCGCUUGCCUUGCAUGCAAGAGGCCCUGGGUUCGAUUCCUCAGCACCCCA
rnacentral:tRNA from 1 species